rnacentral:rRNA from 1 species
GAUGAACGCUGGCGGCGUGCCUAAUACAUGCAAGUCGAGCGAACAGAUGAGGAGCUUGCUCCUCUGGCGUUAGCGGCGGACGGGUGAGUAACACGUGGAUAACCUACCUAUAAGACUGGGAUAACUACGGGAAACCGGAGCUAAUACCGGAUAAUAUAUUGAACCGCAUGGUUCAAUAGUGAAAGACGGUUUUGCUGUCACUUAUAGAUGGAUCCGCGCCGCAUUAGCUAGUUGGUAAGGUAACGGCUUACCAAGGCAACGAUGCGUAGCCGACCUGAGAGGGUGAUCGGCCACACUGGAACUGAGACACGGUCCAGACUCCUACGGGAGGCAGCAGUAGGGAAUCUUCCGCAAUGGGCGAAAGCCUGACGGAGCAACGCCGCGUGAGUGAUGAAGGUCUUCGGAUCGUAAAACUCUGUUAUUAGGGAAGAACAAAUGUGUAAGUAACUAUGCACGUCUUGACGGUACCUAAUCAGAAAGCCACGGCUAACUACGUG